UGUCCCGGAUGGCGCAGUGGUUAACGCAUCUGUCUGGUAAGCAGGCGAUCCCGGGUUCGAAUCCCGGUCCGAUAC